rnacentral:rRNA from 1 species
GCAAGCGUUGUUCGGAAUUACUGGGCGUAAAGGGCUCGUAGGCGGCCAACUAAGUCAGACGUGAAAUCCCUCGGCUUAACCGGGGAACUGCGUCUGAUACUGGAUGGCUUGAGUGUGGGAGAGGGAUGCGAAAUUCCAGGUGUAGCGGUGAAAUGCGUAGAUAUCUGGAGGAACACCGGUGGCGAAGGCGGCAUCCUGGACUACUACUGACGCUGAGUGAGCGAAAGCCAGGGGAGCAAACGGG